UCUCAGCCUCUUUCCCCAGUUGAGCCAACA
rnacentral:piRNA from 1 species